rnacentral:tRNA from 1 species
CGGCCCGUAGCUCAGUCGGUAGAGUCCUCGCCUGAUAAGCGGGAGGUCGGAGGUUCGAUCCCUCCUGGGCCGA